AAUUUAAACAUAUACGAAGAAAAUUCCACUUUAUAAGGAAUUCAGGAGAGAAUCCGGUGUGAAUCCGGAACUACAGCCAUAACUGUAAGCAUUAAUUGCAAGUCAGAUCGCUCGUCGUAUAUGUACGUGC
rnacentral:ncRNA from 2 species